rnacentral:misc_RNA from 1 species
GCCACCGGAAAAUCCUCUGUAAGUCGCCGAGAAAUAGAGAGGAUUUAGUAGAGAUACAGGUGAAUCAUCGAUCAAAUGGCUCGCCAAGCGACCAAACUGAUCGCAAAUCUGUCAAAAAAGCUGAGUUCUAGCAAUCCAACACUCGCUGCUCAGAACAGACUGUUUGGAUCGGCGCCGCCUCCGCCGGCUGUGUUCGUUGAUAAGAACACACGUGUCAUCUGUCAAGGCAUUACAGGGAAGAACGGUACCUUCCAUACCGAGCAGGCCAUCGAGUAUGGCACCAAAAUGGUUGGUGGA